rnacentral:rRNA from 1 species
AGAGUUUGAUCCUGGCUCAGGAUGAACGCUGGCGGCGUGCCUAACACAUGCAAGUCGAACGGAGAGUUUUUGAUGAAGCUUCGGCGGAAUUGAAGAUUUCUUAGUGGCGGACGGGUGAGUAACGCGUGGGUAACCUGCCUUAUACAGGGGGAUAACAGUCAGAAAUGACUGCUAAUACCGCAUAAGCGCACGGGACCGCAUGGUCCGG